rnacentral:lncRNA from 1 species
AUAGGUGGGAGAAUCCAUUUGACUUAUAAUAUCCUUAAUAUUUCUCCAUUUUUCCAAUGUGAGACAAUUAGUUCAUGACAAUCGCCUCUGCUUGAGAACUAACGACCUCGUUGGUUACGGCUGGUACCCCUCUUAGGUCCAGGCCACCACUUCUGGCACACAGGACACCACUCCGAGUAGUGUCUCCACACGUGGAUAGAUUCUCGUUGGUCACGGCUAUGCUCAGUUGGUCAUGGUUGGCACCCCUCUUGGGUCCAGGCCACCACUCCGAGUCACGGCCCAACUCACAGCUCCCCACACGUGGAUCGAUCCUCGUUGAUCAUGGCUAUGCCCAGUUGGUCACAGCUGCCACCCCUCUUGGGUCCAAGCUACCACUCCGAAUCACGGCCCAACGCGUGGAACUCUCAAUGAAAGCACCAAUGUUAUAAACCAAACGGGAGAGCCCAAC